rnacentral:lncRNA from 10 species
CGGGAGGCGGAAGUGCUGCCUGAUAGGGAGCGUCCUACCCACCCCGUCUGCUGGAGCUGGACUGACCAGGGACGGCCACCCCUGAGGGGACUCUAGUGCUGCACUGGGAGCACUUUUGCAGCCAUUACGUCUUUUCGGAGCUAGACAGAAGUUACUAAACCUGGAAAAUUCCUUAAGGAUCACUUGCUUCAAAGGGAGACACGGUGGCCCUGCUGUUCAAGGAGCGUCAGUGACCCAGAGAGUCAGUGACCAAGAGGAAACGCCUGUCUCCUGGGGACUUCCAAGAUACUAGCUACAGUCUCUUAUAUUUACACCUUUCCUCCCUAAGGACAGCAGGAAAAAGAAAGUUCCGUGUUUCUUUUUAAAUCAGGGAGAUGUUAAUAGCUACAUGGCUCAUUUUGUCUACACCACAGAAAUAACAGUGGUUCCAGUUAAUCAUGCUCAUGUUGAGGGGGAGUGCUUAUGCAGGGGCCACCAGAAGACCCCUCUCCUUCACUACCACCACCACCACCCUAAGAAAUGAAAAGCCAAAAAAAGAAACCAAAAAACCAGAGGUCAACAAGAAGCUUCCAGAGGUAGUCAGCAGGGGACAAGAAAGUGUUUUUAUAAAAAACGCACAUAUCUUUGAUGACAAAAAAAAAGGGAUAGCUAUGAAGGAAAAAUGAAGCAAAUAAAAAUUAUUUAAAGCAUAUAUUUACUUAAAGCAUAAUUUUAAAGUCAUUUAAAGUAUGAACCAUAGGAAAGUGUUGAAGAAAAACAUUUAAGAAAGUUAAAAUGUUAGGGUCUGCAAUUGAUUCUGUUUCCCCUUGUCUGUUGUUUUAUGCUCAUCCCUAACAUACAUUGGCAACAGUGCAUGAAGUAUUUUCACAUUAGCCUUGACAUAGUCUCAUGAGGAAAAGAGGGGCAGGGACUACUAUGAGAGAGCCCAAGGAAGACAACUUUUAGUUGCUCACAACAGUAGUAGCUCCGGAACAGACAGCAUUCUUUUUGGGGAAAUGCAUGACUUUGGGAGAAACUCUCCUGUGAUUCCCUUGCUAGAGGAGGCAUUACAUAUUAUGCAAAAGCAACAAACAAGUAUACACUCAAAAUUGGAGGAAUAGCUGAUGUGUUUACGGAUGAUUUCACAGAGGUGGCUUGGAGCUCAGUUUUGAAAUAUGGGGAACGUUUAGAAGAGUCAAUAAUGAGGGUCUAAUGUUAGUGUCAUGUAAAAGUUCAGAGGUGGGAAAAUGUUUGGCAUGUUUUGGGGACAGUGAGUAAAUUAGUUGGAGUCUGAAGAGCUCAGCAAGAUGAAUAAUUGAAGGAAAAUCUGGGGACAGAUUCUGGAGCCCUGAAAGCAUUCCAUGUUAAGGAAUCUUAAUGGCAAUAAGGAACCAUAGAAGGUUUCAGAUAAAGGAAUGUUUUGAUCAACUGCUGCUUAGGAGGUUAAUCGGGUCCCUGGUUGCAGGAUGGAUGGGGCAGAGGCUGUGGGCAGAGAUGUCAGGAGUGACAUGAUGAAGGUCUGGGCAGGGCAGAGGUAUGGAGCUGAGUGGGGAGCGUUGAUGGGAAAGCGGGUCCCAGUAGGGAAGUGACUAACUUGGUGACCGACCAGAGGUACGGGCUGGGAAAAAGGCAAGGGGAAAGGAUGGGGUCAUAAAUCAUGAAUCUGUGAAAUUGCCAGAACCAUUAGUUUGAGGGCUUUGGGGGAGCCCAGGUGAUUGCUGGGAGACAGAAGAUUUAGAAGAUGUCCAGGAACUAGAAGUGUGUAGCCUGCCAUGAUCCCUGGUGGACUGAACAAAGGUGGGUGGGCAAUGGGAAUAAAAGACAAGACAAAAGAGUAUAUUUGGAAGAAGGGGUCAGGGGGCACUUUGCCUCUAGUGGACAAGGGCCCUGAGUUUUACACAUCCCUCCGUAUUUCGUAGGCAAAAGAGAGCGAGAAAGGGGGGGUGAUUGUCGGUAAUUGUCAGUUAGAGGUUUGGUUCACAGCAGGCUUGUGAGACUGCAUCUUUUGAACAAUAGGUGCUAGAUUUCUUAGAUAACUUCAAGGAGCCCUGCACCAAGGAGUGAUGUCCAUCAGCAAACCUUUUGGUGGCAGGUGCAGUGUGUUUGCUCACAUCCUACAUUCAUGAUAAACAGUUUGCUGUUUGAUCAUAUAGCCUCCAGUGGAAUGCUGAGUUGGUCACGAUCCCUUUGGCCUUUUCGGCUCCCAACAGAAGUGUGUAUAGGAGAGAGUGGGACCACAGAUGGAGACUAGAGAGGGAAGGACUGAGGCCUAAAUCUUGGAGGAUGGCUAUAUGUGAAGGAGGUAGAGGGGUGGGUCAGAGAGAUUGGAGAGGGUUCAGUUAGAGCUGGGUGAUGGAAGUCAAGCAGAGUUUGCAGAAGGAAGGAGUGACUAGCAGAAAGGUGAAGAAUGAGAGCUGAGCAGAUGCUCUUGGCCAUCAAGUUCCCUGGUCACCUUGGUGAGAGAGAUGUCAGUGGAUGCCAGGAGUGGAAAUCAGUUUGCACUAGGUUGAGGGAUGGAAGCAUAGUGGACAUCUGUUGGUUCUGCCUGCCUACAUCCAAUUCCCUUUGUUCUGAUACCAGCACUCCAAUAUUCCUUUGGGGAACCAUUCUUCCUCAUUUUCAGUUUUGUGGUUUGGAUUGAGUGGACCACCCCCAUGUGACCCAGGCCUGGCCAAUUAGAACAUCCCAUUCCCUGCCCAAAUGAUUGGGAAUGGACAAGUGAGUCAAACCAGGCUCAUGAGGCUCAAUUCCAGGACUGUUACUAGAAUCUUAGGGAAAGAGCUAACUCUUUCUGCUGGAGCUGACAAGCAGGCAAAGUGUAAGCUUAGAGCUUCUUGUGGUCAUCUUGUCAUCAAGAGGAGAGAUUGAGAGUGAGAAUGAGGUCAACAUGGAGGAAUGCAGAGAGUGAGAAAGACAACUUCCUGUUGGUAUCAUUGAGGACCUGGAUUCAGCCAUGCUUGAAGUGAAAGAUCUACUUCUGUACUUUUUGGCUCUGUGAACAAAUAAAUUCUAUUUUUUU